rnacentral:rRNA from 1 species
AAAGGAAUUGACGGGGGCCCGCACAAGCGGAGGAACAUGUGGUUUAAUUCGAUGAUACGCGAGGAACCUUACCCGGGCUUAAAUGUAGGUUGCAUGGAGCAGAGAUGUUCCUUUCUUUCACGAGACCACCUACAAGGUGCUGCAUGGUUGUCGUCAGCUCGUGCCGUGAGGUGUCGGGUUAAGUCCCAUAACGAGCGCAACCCUUGUCGUUAGUUGCCAUCGGGUAGAGCCGGGCACUCUAGCGAGACUGCCGCCGCAAGGCGCGAGGAAGGCGAGGAUGACGUCAAAUCAGCACGGCCCUUACGUCCGGGGCUACACACGUGUUACAAUGGUAGGUACAGAGGGCAGCUACACCGCGAGGUGAUGCGAAUCUCGAAAGCCUAUCACAGUUCGGAUUGGAGUCUGCAACCCGACUCCAUGAAGCUGGAUUCGCUAGUAAUCGCAUAUCAGCCAUGAUGCGGUGAAUACGUUCCCGGGCCUUGUACACACCGCCCGU